ACCGAGUGUCGAACUCAAGGAUCGCGUUAUACUGUUGAAUUGUGAUUUUUACUCGAUUGAACAAAAGGUUUCAGUUUGAUUGGUUGCAAUAGUAAUAAUAUUAAUAACAACGAAAAUUACUUUGUAUUUGAUAAUAAUAAAAAUGUCAGGGAUGAGUUUCACUAGACUACUAUUUUAAUGUAGUGACUUGGUUAUGACUGUUGAAGCUAUUUAUCAAAUUAUUACCGAAUUC
rnacentral:lncRNA from 1 species